rnacentral:rRNA from 1 species
GACGGAGGAUGCAAGUGUUAUCCGGAAUCACUGGGCGUAAAGCGUCUGUAGGUGGUUUAAAAAGUCUACUGUUAAAAAUUGAAGCUUAACUUCAAAGAUGCCGUAGAAACUUUUAAACUCGAGGAUGGUAGGGGUAGAGGGAAUUUCCAGUGGAGCGGUGAAAUGCGUAGAUCUUGGAAAGACCACCAAUGGCGAAGGCAUUCUACUGGGCCAUUACUGACACUAAGAGACGAAAGCUAGGGGAGCAAAUGGG